UGCAUUAGUCGGUGUGAAAUGUUUUAGUCAGUGUACACUAUACGAAUCAAAAUUAAAAUCGGUGUAAGAAAAAAUUUUAGUUAUUCUAAUUUAUUAUUCAAACGGCAUCCACCAAGAAAUGCAACCAAAACCAAUGUACAACCUACUACAUUAAAACAGAAACUGUGCCAUUUGCUUAACCCACAAUCUUUCCACAACCAUAUCAUGAAGCAGUUUUACACUCAAAGUGUUUGCACAACUAUUUAAAACCAUCCACAUGCUAUGAAUUUGUUCUUGUUAGCUCUACCCCAUUCUCUUUUAGCAUCAUUGGAAUAAUAUCUCUUAAUUGGGAUAAUAUCAACAAUGCAGCACCGCCAUAUACGAAACUGAAACCUUGAUAAAUGAAAUGAAAUAUUGAACUGAAAUUGCAUUAUGCUCAAUUAUGACUAUUUUCUAUAUAAGAGCGUGUUAAAAGCUAUGCCUCCAAAUGAGGCUCUACGGCACAAAUGCAAGUUUCAUUUACCAGCUUUUCUUUCACUUCUCACAACCAGUCAAAGAUCCUCACCUUGGCCUGCUUUGGGAGGGAAGGCUUGAAAGAUAUGAAAUGGCAGCAGAAGGUAAGACAGAUACUUAAAAACAUGAACCACAAAUUCCUAUAUAUGUAGCUGUGAAACAAAUAUUCAACUACUCUGGAGAACAAAGGUAAAGCAAAUACUUAAAAACAUGAACCACAAACCCUGCUUACGUAAUGCUAGACUUAAAGCAUAACAAGAAUCAUUUACAAGCUUUUCUUUCACUUUUCACAACCAGUCAA
rnacentral:lncRNA from 1 species